GCUUACGGCCAUACAAGCCCAAGAACGCCCAUGUCUCGUCUGAUCUCGGAAGCUAAGAAGGCCUUGGGCUGGUUAGUACUUGGAUGGGAGACCUCCUGGGAAUACCAGGUGCUGUAAGCU
ensembl:rRNA 5S_rRNA 5S ribosomal RNA